GCAAGGAGAGGCCACCAGCGGGGCGCGGUGCCCCAAACCGCCCCGUGCCCGUCCUGUGUCGGGCUGGCUCCUAAUUGGGCGGCUUGGGAAUUUUCCCCAAAGAAGUACGGGGUAACUGAUUUCGGGAACCCAACUCCAUGCUUUGGCUUCUGUGCAGGGAAACGUGAGUACGAACACCCUUGCCAAGGCGCUGGGUUUAAAACCCAGACCAGAAAUCCCUAUCAAAACGCGUCCGCCGCCCUUUCUUCCCAGAUAAGGGGCCGGGUUCAUGGAGCAGCGGGGGCCGCUUGCAGUCGAAAUAGGUUCCACUCAUCCCCUUUUCUCUGCGCCUUUUCCGCUCCGCAGCAUGUCUCUCGGCCAUGUGUUAGGAGGCGAGGUGUCGGCUCCCAUCUCCCGUGCCGCCGCAGCAUCGCCCUUCACCCCCCCCAAGCAGCCGACCUUGCUCUCUGGAAAAAGUUCUCCCUGAUACGGGGCUCCUCCUGUUACAUUCCCCCCCCCCCUUUUUUUUUUUUUUGGGGGGGGGGGAAGGGGCCCCCCGCGCUCGCGGCGAAGGUAAAUCUCCCGGCGGCGGAGCCUCCCCGACGGCAAAGGCUGGGCGCCGCGCCCCGCCGCUUCUCUCGUGUCCCCGGUGCUCUGGUUUUCCUCUUCCUGAAGCCCUGUGUACACAAAGGGCUUGCUUCUGCCUUUCAAUUAGGUGGCAGAGGGAGCGCCUACCGGAGGAGCCGGGGAUCUGCGAGGCGAGCCGGUGCCGCAGGAAAGCAGAGGGAUGGCAUUUACCCUCCCGGCCACCAAAGCUCCGCACGCCCCGAGAAGGAGCUUUUAUUGUCAAUAAAGAGCAAAACGGGAGCGGCCGGUAAUGAGAUCAGGAAAAGAGGCAUUAGAAAAAAUAACGCUGGGGCACCGCACACGUAAAAGGAGGGUGUUCUCCAAAGACACUUCUGGGCGAGCCGCAGUAAAGGUUUUAUUGGUAAUCGAGAAGCGACUCCCACCCGCAGGCUUGGCGUUGAAGGACCACCUCAGGGGGCAGAAGUGACACUGCCUGGCUCGUGGACGAGACCCGCUGGGCAAAGGGCACGGCUCGGUAAUAACAAGUAUUUACUAAACGAGUUACUGCCAAAUGAACGCCGGGAUUUAGGCUUCGAUUUGCUGGAUAAGCUCUUUAGUAACUACGAAAGCAGGCCAACAACUUUUAUAGAGGAAAGGAAAAUAUUUAACGUCAGUAACUUCUCUAGUAGCUGAAAACUACCUUCUGACAACAAACGGGACUUUCCUUCCCCGUCGAAUCAAAGAAACGCUUAUACUUAAAUUUCACCCUGAAAGAUCUACUCUUUUUUUUAAAAAUAACAGUAUCAACAGGGCAAUUUUUCAGCUUCAGAAGAACCAAACGAAAGCAAAGCGCUGCCCGCGGACAGACGCCUGGGCUCAGAGCGGCUGAGAGCAGAGCACCCGCACCGGUGCCGGGAGGGUUUCGCACACGCAGGGAGAGCAAAAAUGCCAUUUCCCCUACAGGUCCUGAGGUUCUUCCGAGGGGAUUUUAAUUAGACAAAGGAAUUACCCGCCCUGGCGCCGUGCCUUUAGGUAGCUGCGGGAUCUGAGUGUCCCCGGCUCAUCAUCCUCCUCCUCCAACACCGGGGCCGCUGGCUUUUGGGUUCCCAGCUGGGCUCCUGUGUCCCGAGGAUCUCCUCGAUGUUAACGUGGCUUUAAGGAGGAAAGGAGAAGAAGGAGGAAGGCAUUCGUGACCGAUUUUAGCCCGUGCCUUGCUGCCUUUCCUCGGUUCUCAGUCCCGAACGGUCUCGCUGCAGCUGAAAUCACUGAAAAUCGAG
rnacentral:lncRNA from 1 species